CAACUACAGUUUUAACAGCGGGGCAAACACUGUUUCACACAGGUCCAUGUAGUUUUGGAUGUUGUUUUCCCUUAAUAA